AACGAACGCUGGCGGCAUGCCUAACACAUGCAAGUCGAACGAGACCUUCGGGUCUAGUGGCGCACGGGUGCGUAACGCGUGGGAACCUGCCCUUAGGUUCGGAAUAACUCCCCGAAAGGGGUGCUAAUACCGGAUAAUGUCUUCGGACCAAAGAUUUAUCGCCUUUGGAUGGGCCCGCGUUGGAUUAGCUAGUUGGUAGGGUAAAAGCCUACCAAGGCGACGAUCCAUAGCUGGUCUGAGAGGAUGAUCAGCCACACUGGGACUGAGGCACGGCCCAGACUCCUACGGGAGGCAGCAGUGGGGAAUAUUGGACAAUGGGCGAAAGCCUGAUCCAGCAAUGCCGCGUGAGUGAUGAAGGCCUUAGGGUUGUAAAGCUCUUCUACCCGGGAUGAUAAUGACAGUACCGGGAGAAUAAGCUCCGGCUAACUCCGUG
rnacentral:rRNA from 1 species